AUCAUAUCAAAAAGUCGCUUCCUGCAUCACAAUCAAGAAGAUUUGUAAUGAAUUAUGUAAAGGUCUCGUGCUGCUACAUUAUAGAACUUAACUAAGCAUUAAAAUGAGGCAGCUGGUUUAUUUUUUAUGUUUUAUCCACACUGAAGAUAUAGAUGGUUUUCCAGAAAAGCAACCACAAUUAGACUAAAGUAAUAAAUCAGUUUAUCAUUGUUGAUAGCCAUGAAAUCAGCACAUCUACAAUCAUUCAACUAGUAAAUAUACCUGUCAGCUUUAUCAAAUGUAAA
rnacentral:misc_RNA from 1 species